rnacentral:rRNA from 1 species
CGGGACGGGUGAGUAAUGCUUGGGAAUCUAGCCUAUGGAGGGGGAUAACUACGGGAAACUGUAGCUAAUACCGCGUAAUAUCGAAAGAUUAAAGUGUGGGACCUUCGGGCCACAUGCCAUAGGAUGAGCCCAAGUGGGAUUAGGUAGUUGGUGAGGUAAAGGCUCACCAAGCCGACGAUCUCUAGCUGGUCUGAGAGGAUGACCAGCCACACUGGGACUGAGACACGGCCCAG